GUAAUGGCCUACCAAGGCAUCGACGGGUAGCUGGUCUGAGAGGACGAUCGCCACACUGGGACUGAGACACGGCCCAGACAUCUACGGAUGGCAGCAGUGGGGAAUAUUGCGCAAUGGGCGAAAGCCUGACGCAGCAACGCCGCGUGAGGGAUGACAGCUUUCGGGUUGUAAACCUCUUUCAGUGAUGACGAAAAUGACGGUAAUCACAGAAGAAGGUCCGGCCAACUACGUGCCAGCAGCCGCGGUAACACGUAGGGGCCAAGCGUUGUCCGGAUUUAUUGGGCGUAAAGAGCUCGUAGGCGGUUUCGUAAGUCGGAUGUGAAAACUCAGGGCUCAACCCUGAGACGCCAUCUGAUACUGCGAUGACUGGAGUCCGGUAGGGGAGCAUGGAAUUCCUGGUGUAGCGGUGGAAUGCGCAGAUAUCAGGAGGAACACCAAUGGCGAAGGCAGUGCUCUGGGCCGGUACUGACGCUGAGGAGCGAAAGCAUGGGGAGCAAACAGGAUUAGAUACCCUGGUAGCCCAUGCCGUAAACGUUGGGCACUAGGUGUGG
rnacentral:rRNA from 1 species